rnacentral:rRNA from 1 species
CCUACGGGAGGCAGCAGUGGGGAAUAUUGCACAAUGGGGGGAACCCUGAUGCAGCGACGCCGCGUGAGCGAUGACGUACUUCGGUAUGUAAAGCUCUAUCAGUAGGGAAGAAAAUGACGGUACCUGACUAGGAAGCUCCGGCUAACUACGUGCCAGCAACCGCGGUAAUACGUAGGGGGCAAGCGUUAUCCGGAUUUACUGGGUGUAAAGGGAGCGUAGACGGGUAUGUAAGUCUGGAGUGAAAGCUCGGGGCUUAACCCGGGGACUGCGUUGGAAACUGUGUAACUGGAGUGCAGGAGAGGCAGGCGGAAUUCCUGGUGUAGCGGUGAAAUGCGUAGAUAUCAGGAGGAACACCGGCGGCGAAGGCGACCUGCUGGACUGAAACUGACGCUGAGGCUCGAAAGCGUGGGGAGCAAACAGGAUUAGAUACCCGGGUAGUC